AUGGAGUACAAGAGGUCAUCGCAUGUGGAGGAGGACGAGGAGCUGGAGGAGGAGGAGGAAGAGGAAGAGGAGGACGAUGAGGAGGAGGAGGAGGACGAGGAGGGGGCGAUGCGGGACCGUCGGCACCAGCACCAGCACCAGCACCCGCACCAUCAUCGCCACCACUACACCAUGGCGCCGGCCGCGGCCGCGCCCCCGCAGCACCUGCACAUGCAGGGCCAGGCUCCGCAGGUUCUUGGCUCGCCUGCCGCGGCUGCCUCCUCGCCCUCCUCCUUGAUGGAGGCCGCGGCUUUCUCCAGGCCCCUCCUGCCUCCCAACUCCUCCCUCGUCUCCUCGCCGCCGCCGCCGCCGCCACCGCAGGCGCCGCCCGGCUUCCUCCUGCCCCAGCACCAGCAUCCCCACCGGAGAAGGGUGGACCGCGAGAGGGAGCGGGAGAGGACGGUGGAGGCGCCUGGGGAGGCCCACCGUCAGCAGCAGCAGCAGCAGCCGCAGCCGCAGCACCAGCAGCGCCAUCAGGAGCCGGCGAGGAAUGGCGUGCUUGGCGGUGGCACCAUGCCUCCCCCGCCGCCUACGCUUGCCAUCGUGACCGGCGGCGCCACAAGGGCGCCGGGCGAGCACGGUGGCGCCUCGGGCCCGGAGCCCCUGCCGUGGAGGUACAGGGAGUGCCUGCGGAACCACGCCGCGCGGAUGGGCGCGCACGUGCUCGACGGCUGCGGCGAGUUCAUGCCGUCCCCGGGCGACGGGCCCGCCGCGCUGGCCUGCGCCGCGUGCGGCUGCCACCGCAGCUUCCACCGCCGCGAGCCGGUGGUGCUGGUCCCCUCGCCCUCUCCGUCCCCCGCCUCCGCCGUGGUGUCCCCCUCCGCGACCCCGGCCGGCGCCAACUCCCGGCUCAUGCCGCUCCUCCUCGCCCCGCCGCACAUGCAGCAGAAGCGCCCGCACGUCCCGGCGUCCCCGAUGUCUGCGCCCGCCGCGCUGGCCGAGUCGUCGAGCGAGGAGCUGCGCGCCCCGCCGCCGCCGCCCCCUCCGCCGCAGGCGCAGGCGCAGGCGGCCGCGGGCGGGUCGGCCUCCGCGCCCCCGGCGCCGAGCAAGAAGCGGUUCCGGACCAAGUUCACGCCGGAGCAGAAGGAGCGCAUGCUGGAGUUCGCGCACCGCGUGGGCUGGCGCGUGCAGAAGCCCGACGGCGGCGUGGUGGACGCCUUCUGCGCGCAGGUCGGUGUGCCCCGCCGCGUCCUCAAGGUGUGGAUGCACAACAACAAGCACCUCGCCAAGACCUCGGCCACGUCCCCGCCGCCGCUGCCGCCGCUCCACCACGACCCCAGUCCUCCUGCUCCCCACCAGCACCACCCCGCGCCGCCGCCCCACCAUCAGCAGCAGCAGCAGCAGCAGCACGGCGCAUGA
rnacentral:rRNA from 1 species